UCCUCGGUAGUAUAGUGGUUAGUAUCAGCGUCUGUGACAUGCGAGACCCAGGUUCAAUUCCCGGCCGGGGAG